rnacentral:rRNA from 1 species
GACGGAGGAUGCAAGCGUUAUCCGGAAUGAUUGGGCGUAAAGCGUCCGCAGGUGGCAGUUCAAGUCUGCUGUCAAAGACCGGGGCUUAACUUCGGAAAGGCAGUGGAAACUGAACAGCUAGAGUAUGGUAGGGGCAGAGGGAAUUCCUGGUGUAGCGGUGAAAUGCGUAGAGAUCAGAAGAACAUCGGUGGCGAAGGCGCUCUGCUGGACCAUAACUGACACUCAGGGACGAAAGCUAGGGGAGCGAAUGGG